UCCCUUCUUUUCAUAGCAUCCCCUCCUUUCCGUUUCGUCUCUUUUCAUUUCCACGGUACCAAACAACUUCAGUUCUGUUCGGUACUCCAAAUUGUCUUUCAACAAUUGUUGGAGGCUUCGUGAUCAAUCAUCAGAAUGGUACCAUUCUGUUCCAUCCAUAGAUUGUCAGCAUCAGGAAGUCAUUGAACAAUAAUGCCGAAGACAAAAGUUAUGAUAUUGUUCACGGGUCACCAACUUCAGUUAUAAUACAUUCACCAUCAUUUGCUCCACAAUGGAGUUGAUACUUCUAGACUAAUAAGGGUUUUGAUUAGAUGUAACAGAACAGAUAAAAUUGGAUGAUCAUAUUCCCAGUUGCAAAGUGUUUACAAAAUGUAAAGACCCCAAUUUAGAUGCUUACCUCCGACUACCGGAGUUGAACGGCUCGAGUUUUGCGAUGCAGCCAUCCCCAUACGUUCUUUC